rnacentral:tRNA from 1 species
GGUGGCUCAGUGGUAGAGCGCUUGCCUCACACGCCUGAGGCCCUGGGUUCGAUUCCUCAGCACCA